rnacentral:rRNA from 2 species
CGGNNUUAUUGGGCGUAAGCGAGCGCAGGCGGUUUUUUAAGUCUGAUGUGAAAGCCUUCGGCUCAACCGAAGAAGUGCAUCGGAAACUGGGAAACUUGAGUGCAGAAGAGGACAGUGGAACUCCAUGUGUAGCGGUGAAAUGCGUAGAUAUAUGGAAGAACACCAGUGGCGAAGGCGGCUGCCUGGUCUGUAACUGACGCUGAGGCUCGAAAGUAUGGGUAGCAAACAGGAUUAGAUACCCUGGUAGUCCAUACCGUAAACGAUGAAUGCUAGGUGUUGGAGGGUUUCCGCCCUUCAGUGCUGGAGCUAACGCAUUAAGCAUUCCGCCUGGGGAGUACGGCCGCAAGGCUGAAACUCAAAGGAAUUGACGGGGGCCCGCACAAGCGGUGGAGCAUGUGGUUUAAUUCGAAGCUACGCGAAGAACCUUACCAGGUCUUGACAUACUAUGCAAAUCUAAGAGAUUAGACGUUCCCUUCGGGGACAUGGAUACAGGUGGUGCAUGGUUGUCGUCAGCUCGUGUCGUGAGAUGUUGGGUUAAGUCCCGCAACGAGCGCAACCCUUAUUAUCAGUUGCCAGCAUUAAGUUGGGCACUCUGGUGAGACUGCCGGUGACAAACCGGAGGAAGGUGGGGAUGACGUCAAAUCAUCAUGCCCCUUAUGACCUGGGCUACACACGUGCUACAAUGGAUGGUACAACGAGUUGCGAACUCGCGAGAGUAAGCUAAUCUCUUAAAGCCAUUCUCAGUUCGGAUUGUAGGCUGCAACUCGCCUACAUGAAGUCGGAAUCGCUAGUAAUCGCGGAUCAGCAUGCCGCGGUGAAUACGUUCCCGGGCCUUGUACACACCGCCCGUCACACCAUGAGAGUUUGUAACACCCAAAGUCNGUGGGGUAACCUUUUAGAACCAGCCGCCUAANUGGGACAGAUGAUUNGGGUGAGUCGUACAG